rnacentral:rRNA from 1 species
GAUCUCUUGGUUCUGGCAUCGAUGAAGAACGCAGCGAAAUGCGAUAAGUAGUGUGAAUUGCAGAAUUCAGUGAAUCAUCGAAUCUUUGAACGCACAUUGCGCCCUUUGGUAUUCCAAAGGGCAUGCCUGUUCGAGCGUCAUUUGUACCCUCAAGCUUUG